GCCGGCAGCUAUAUCACCCUGUAGCCCAAGACUGGUUGCCCACUGAAGCUAAGCAGGGCUGAGCCUGGUCAGUACCUGGAUGGGAGACCUCCUGGGAAAACUAGGUUGCUGCUGGAA
rnacentral:rRNA from 1 species